ensembl:lncRNA
GAUUUGUAGUCCAUAUUUUAAAGAGGCUUUUGUCGGCCAUGUUGUGGAAACGUCACAUGGCAGCAGAAGAAGGUGCAGAAUGGAUGGAUCGAUAAAAUGGAUGGAUGCAUGGAUGGAUAGAUGCAUGGAUGGAUGCAUGGAUGGAUGGGUAGAUAGAUGCAUGGAUGGAUGGAUGGAUGGAUGCAUGGAUGGAUGGAUAGAUGGAUGGAUGCAUAGAUGGAUGCAUGGAUGGAUGGAUGGAUGCAUGGAUGGAUAGAUGGAUGCAUGGAUGGAUGGAUGGAUGGAUAGAUGGAUGCAUGGAUGGAUGGAUAGAUGGAUGGAUGGACAUGUACCGAUGUACCGAUUAACAAAUACAAAAGAGGAGGAGGUGAGGAGGUGGAGCUGUCGUGGUUCAUGUCUGAUCAGUUCGCAGGGAGCUUUGUACUUUGUGGAAUAGCAGCUUAGGGGCCAUUAUGUGGUCUGAAGGAUUUGUUCGCUGUUGUUACCCUCAGGAGGUAGCGACACACAUUACAAUGUGCGCACACACACACACACACACACACACACGCCUCCUGAUCUUUUCUUGGAUUUUCUUUGAUUUCAGACUGUAUUGCUGUAUGUCUCUUUUCACAGGCAAAGACAGGUGUUUAAACACAAAACACAUAAAACACACACACAUUCUACCCCCCCCCCCCCCCCCCCCCCUUAGCUGCGUAGUGGGCCAGUAGUGUAUCGAGCGCCCUGCUUGUUAGCUGAAGGAGUCUUUUCUCAUUAGGGCUUGGAUCUGGCUCCAUUGUUCCCCUCCAGAGCGAGUUAUUAGGCCUCCUGCUGCAGCACCACCCCCCCUGCCCCCACCCCCCCCCUCCUUGAAUGGACCUGGGGAGCGGAGAGUCUGCGGAGGGCAGAACAGGCAAUUAGCAAAGACAUGUUUGAAGAGAGGAGGGAGAGGACCUGCGCUACAAAAAGAAUCCUUUUGAAGUUUUACAAACUUUUGUCUGCUUUUUUCUUUCUUUGCCAUCACGCUGCCCUCAAAGCCCGAGACGGGUUCUUCAACACGCCGCACCCCUCCUCCCCCUCCGCCGACUCCCCCUCCUCUCCUCCCUCUCUUCCCUCUCUUUCCUCUCAUUCGUUACUCUUCUCCAUGAGAACGCUCAGAAAGCGCCGUAUCUUCUGCAGCCGCUUUGAUGUCUUAACGACGCCGCGAAGAGACCCCCCCCCCAAAACCCCCACAACCCCCAAAACCCCCACUUCACUCUCCUUUUGUCGCCCUUCAGAGUCCAGCAGUCACAUCUGGCUUUUCAGAUCCCACCUCGCUGACACCAAGCGGGAUGCAGGAGGAAAGAAAAGCGACCGCUCGCAUUCAGGGGGAAGGAAAAACUGGCUGCACGUUUAUCAACGUUGGUCUUAUCAGGGUUACAUGGAGCCUUGUUGUCUCGUCACAGGAGGCGGGCAGACUCGCCCCCCAGGGGGUUCCGUACAGAGGCCUUUUCAUCGCUGCUAUUUUCAACCAUGUUACGUGGGUGAGAAAGGCAGACAAAGGCCUCCUGAUUACGGAAAAUGAAAUUAUAUGUCAUUUGAAACGGACGACGUCAACGUAGAGACGACGUGAGGCCCAACAGGGAGCUCAGCUCACGUGUGCGUGUCGGCAUGUGCUCACUUGUGUAAUAUCGCUGCAUUCCCCCCGCAUCUUAUUUCACAGAAAAGUACACACAAUGUGUUUUGGCUGCGUCCUGUGGAUAAGAAGUGUGUGUGUGUGUGUGUGUGUGUGAUCUUAUGCAAACAGGCCGAUGGUUCUACGGCGCCUCUCCUAUCAGCCUGGAGUUUGAUCAGUGUGACAGCGUGCUGAAAACUGACACACACACACAAACGCACACAAACGCACACGCUCUUUGGCCAUGACCACAAUCUCUCCACUGCAUUCCUCUCCUCUGACUGCACUCUGCAUUUGUGUACCUGCUUUUCUGCUUCAUUUUUAGGUCUGAGGAUCUGUUUUGUCGUGCUAUUUGUUUCGUUCUACUGUGGCUCAUUUUCCGCCUUUUGAAAGUCCUUUAAACUAAGCGGCGUCGGGCGAUUCACAAAGGCUGCGGCGUUCCUCUGCGUGCCGAUUGCCCUGCAGUGCCUUUUGGUUUCCCCUGAAGGCCGAACCCUCGCAAGAAGUGAGCAGAAGGAGGACGUGUAGACGCUGUGGGACCUUCUGCUCCCCCGUCACUGGUUUCCAGCGUCCAUGCGUGUGGCACAUGAGAGACAUUGUUCUUCUCGUGGUCCUGAUGUCGGCUCUCUGGCUUAGCGAGGAACCCUCGCGGGGCGAGCGAGCAGCGGCAGAGCGCCCCGCUGGGUGCAGGCGGAUAUUCGGGGUUAUUAUUAAGCCGCAAACCCGCUGCGAGCGACGCAAAUGAGGGCCGAACAAAGCCGCGGCGUCCGGGGUCCCGGGUCGCGCGGAGACGCCGGCCGGCGGCGCUCGGCGAUGAGCGGCUUGAUUUUUACGUCGUCGUAAACGCUCCUUCAAAGACGUCAGCAUGAGGCCUUUGAAGUCGAAAGCAGACGGCCGCAGGUGAAACGCGCACACGCGGCACCGAGAGCACGCAUGAGGACCCGUGCAGGGAGACGGACGCAGCAGAGGACGUUAGCUAUAGAAACAGAUCAUCUAGAACCUGGACAUUAGCUCGUGACGUUUGCUUCACUUGGUAGAAGUAGAAGUGAGUACUUGUGUUAUAGUUUAUAGGAGGUCGUGGUUGAGCAGCCGGACGAGAGAGGAAUCGGCCGCUGGGCGACAUGAAAUAAUGAAGCUGGAGCGUUUUUCUCCCCCUCAGCCGCCGGCAUCGCACCUCCAAGCCGAGCGGGGACCAUGAACUCAUGGACGCGAGACGAGAGCGAGGUCAGACGGGGAGAAAAAGCACGAAUGAGUAGAUAUUUAGGUGCAGCAUAAUUUGAUACAGGGAGGAGCAGCGCGGGCGGGAAUGAUUUAGGGUUCAAAGUGGCGAGCGGAGGCCGGCGGUGUGCCUUUCAAAGGCGGCGCGUGGCGAAGGAUGUGAGAGAUUCGUUAAUUCAGCAGAGUAAAAACGCCGCCUUGAUGUUUACUAGAGUUACACAGGCAGCAGCUGGGAGAGCGCACGCACAUGCACACACACACACACACACACACGCCAUGCUAAAGGCGUCCAUGCACAAGUGAAAAAUGUGGAGACAUUUGAAGGCAUUAAAACCACCUUUCAUGUGAAUUAUCCUUGUUGGCUCCGUCGUCAGUAACACAGAAACCAGGUUACACGAGCGCCUGCUCAGGAAAGAUGCAACGUGAACCCGCGAGAAAACAUACUUGAUGCACAAACCUCACAGGCAGGUAGAAUAUGGGCCCAUUGGGAUGUUGAGUAACCGUCCUGACUGAAGACGCCUCUGCUUCCUGUCGCGGGGGGAGGAGGCCGCGCUUUGCCGACGGCGACAUCGUCUAUUUUUGGGAUGUGAUGAUCAAUUCAUAAGCAAGGGGGGCGGUUUGGGGUCGGAGCAGAUUGCUAAAUAUAUCUGAGCGCUCACCUCGGGACAAAAGUCAGUCGGCCGGGACAAACGGCGCGUUUUACACCCCAGAGGAGCCUCGGAAUGCCGUCGACACAACGCUGAGCUCUGCUCAGGUUCCACGUGUCCACACCAUCAAGGAUCAGGUUGAGUUGAGAGUUCAAUCCCAUAUGUUGGAAGAAACAGACAUUGACUUUGUCUUAAUUCGUCUUCGUUCUGUGAGUCAGAAACAAUGUGAAGCUGACAAAAACACGUUUGUUUUGGGCGUAAACAGGUUUAUUGUUUUAUUUUUUCCAUCAAACGUUGAUCUUUUGUUGUGGUGAACCCCCGCCAUCUUCAUGUAGCACCACGAUUAUUCAAUACGGGUCUGUGAUUUGUGAGUUUCCCUACGUGUGCUGUAUGUUGUCACACACACACACACACACACACACAGUGACAUUCCCCCUGUGAGUCCUCUAAUAAUCCCACUGAAUCAUUUCUGCCCUUGACUGGAUGUCCUCUGUCCUGGCGACACGCACUGCACACACAUGGACUAAUGCAGGAACACACACGCGUGCACAUGGAAAGGGAGGAGGAAAUAAGUCUUUUAUUCUUUGCCUUGAAAAAUCAAACAAAUUCAUCCAGGAGCUUUUGUUGUGCAACACUUUAUACACACAGACACACACACAGAAAACUUGAUCCCUAACUGUAUGUUUUGAGGACUCAUAAACCCACCAGCGUGUGGCGUUUACGAGUGUGUGGAACCACUUGUGUGUUAUUUCAUCGCUGUGUUGAUAUGUGACGCUCUGACGCGUUCGGCGGCCUCGUGUGUCUCCUCGCUGCUGCUUUUCUCGAGCAAACUGCGGUAGGAGAAGCCAGUCUUGCUUCGCCGUGGGACACGAAGCAGCCGGGAUUCAAACCGCCAACCGGUUCCCGGCGCGGCCUCUCUACUCCGUGCGCCACCGUCCUUUUGUAGAUGGGGAGGGAUCCUCCGCUCUACCAGUGCACCACUGUUUUUAGAGGUUGCUCCGCUCUGCAGAGACGUGGAAAAGGACGCUGAGCCGGGCGAAGAGGAUCCACAGAGGCUUCAGACCGUUACCUGGAAGCGUUGGCUCAUCGAGGGAACGUUUUCUGUUCUCACUUAGAAGACUUACUUACUUCCUGACCUUCAUCCCGAGCCAGCGGCGCCCUCCAUUUACAUCGCUGAGGAGGGGAACACAAGAGCUCCAGAUGUUUGUGGCUGAGAUCGUCUUCAUAUUUACUGCUCGUGCCAUAAAACGCGUGUUUCACAAUGUCAUCAUUUUGUGGAACAAAGCGAUUCAUACAGCAAAGGUGAAAACGAUGGACACGUGGAAGACGUAACGAGUCGGGACGGCUCAGGCAUGCUGGGGGGGGGGAAUCGUUUCUCAUACAGUCACCAUCCUCCCUCCUGCAGCCACACACACACACGCACACACACACACACACACGCACACACACACACACUAACGCACACACACCGGUGGCUGUAAUUAGGCCGUUGGGCACGAGAUCAAACUGAAGCGCGGGGCUCUGCUCAGAGUCAAACACACACAUUUUCCUGCACCUUCACUCCGUCCUCGCCGGCACACAAAUGUUUUUGUUUAGUCUGCAACGCAGACCGAGCGCUGUCUGACUUCACUGUUGACUUCUGCAGCGAGGGAACACAGAAGGCGCAGAGCAAAGGAUUGUGGGUCGGAUGAGACGGAGGUGUUCAGCGUGAGGAUAUCCUGGGUGGGUUUUUUUUUCGCUGCAGCGGUGAGCAGAACCGCGGCGAGGUUACGAAAGCAGCAGCGAGCUCGUCUUACUGAUGAGCGGACACGUUUCCCCGCACGCCGCCGUGGAACAAUGGAAGCAUUUAAGCACGAAGCGCGGGCCGUUCCUUUAGGAAAUUAGUCACCGUUUAACCAUGUGGUUGGAAGAGAGACGCAGUCAUGUCGUUUAUUUUACUACCAGAGUAAAUUGGGCCGAGACCUUGAUGUCCACAGACGAGCUCACUGCAUUCUUUGGAGCGUCUCAUCUCUUCUUAUAUUCCACGUGGCUUUAGUCCUUCACCUGGAACCCGAAGGGGGGUCGGAAAGCAGCGAUCACAUCCUGUGAGUUGAAGACGCGUGAGGAGCCCAAGAUGGAGACGUUGUGUCUGUCUGGUCCGUCCGUACCUACGAACCUCCCGUCACUCUGGUCGCCAUCCAAAGUGGUCGUUUUUAGCAUUACGGCUAAGCUGCAUCGUGCCAGGAGCUCUUGGUGCUUCUUCUGCGAUCCUGCUUCAGCUGUCAGGCCUCCGGACGAAGCUUCGCAGUGUCUCUCUCGUGUCGCAAACGAAUGAGAUUGUGACUAAAACAUUGCAGGUUUUAUUCCACUUUUAAAAGGAGUGUUUCAGACCACUGCAGGUCGCCCUGAGCUCAGCGCUGUUAGCGCUCUCAGCUCGGAUAUGUAGAAAGCGUGUGAGUUCAAUACGUCGCACAGAGCUCAGAAAUGCAGCUGUAUCUUCCUCUGGUUCCGAGCGCACGCCGUUAAUCCGUCAGGAGGAGCUGCUGACUUCAGUGUUCGGUUGUCUGUUCUGCGGUUACAGUCAGUAAAUCUUUCUGCAGCUUUCUCCGUCUCUUCGUCUUUGACCUCCUCUUUAAAGUCACUUCCCGUCUGGUCGGCGCUGUUUCUCCGUGGCGGGCCGCUCUGCGCGUGUCUCCCCCACGCUGUCACUGCAGAGUUCUAAAGCUUUCCAUCGGGCCGCCGGGCCGGAGACUCAACCGCAGUGACACACACACACGCGUGUGCGGCGGCGGGGCGGCAGUGCACGUGGACGGUUGUGUGUAUUAACGCGCAUCGUCUUCUCUUGACAACAUGACGAGCUUACGCGCAGAAAAAACAGCACACACUAAAAUCUCAACACAGUUACACUUUCAACUAAUUCAUAUUUUAAUUAUCAGUCACUAUUUUGACAACGCCGAGAUCCAAAUGAACCAAUAUUGUCAAAAGUAAAUAAUAUUGUUAAUGAAAGUAUCUUUUUUUAAUGAUUGAUUAAUCCGUUGAUCUGUAAAAUACACACAAGGAAAUAGAAAUAGAUAAAGGAGCAGUUUCCUUUUCUUUGUGUUUUUGAGACAAUAUUGUUCUUAUUGUAUUGUAUUGUUCUUGUACUUUGUGUCGGGUGGUUUCAUUCAAUUACACACCAAACACAACUCACACACAACAUCUGCAGGUUUCACAUGAUGCACCCGUAUGUAAGUCACACCAUGUCUUACGUGUGACGUGAACUGAGCUGAAAUGAAUGUUCCUAAAGUGAGUGGUCUCACCCACAUACGAGACCGCUCCACCUCCAGGGAACUAAAGGCUCCC